rnacentral:rRNA from 1 species
CCUACGGGUGGCAGCAGUGGGGAAUAUUGCACCAUGGGGGGAACCUUGAUGCAGCAACGCCGCGUGGGUGAAGAAGUACUCCGGUAUGUAAAGCCCUGUCAGCAGGGAGAAAAUGACGGUUCCUGACCAAGAAGCCCCGGCCAACUACGUGCCCGCAGGCGCCGUAAUACGUAGGGGGCAAGCGGUAUCCGGAUUUACUGGGUGUAAAGGGGGCGUAGACGGCAAGGCAAGUCUGGAGUGAAAGGCCGUGGCCCAGCCACGGGACUGCUUUUGAAACUGUGUUGCUGGAGUGCAGGAGGGGUAAGCGGAAUUCCUAGUGUAGCGGUGAAAUGCGUAGAUAGUAGGAGGAACACCGGUGGCGAAGGCGGCUUACUGGACUGUAACUGACGUUGAGGCUCGAAGGCGUGGGGAGCAAACAGGAUUAGAUACCCGGGUAGUC